rnacentral:tRNA from 1 species
GGGGGUGUAGCUCAGUGGUAGAGCACUUGCCUAGCAUACUCAGAAACCUGGAUUCAAUCCUUAGCACCACCA